GUCCACGCCGUAAACGUUGGGCACUAGGUGUGGGGUUCUAUCGACGGAUUCCGUGCCGUAGCUAACGCAUUAAGUGCCCCGCCUGGGGAGUACGGCCGCAAGGCUAAAAACUCAAAGGAAUUGACGGGGGCCCGCACAAGCGGCGGAGCAUGUGGCUUAAUUCGAUGCAACGCGAAGAACCUUACCUGGGUUUGACAUUUGGGGAAAAGCCGUAGAGAUACGGUGUCCUUCGGGGCCCCAAACAGGUGGUGCAUGGCUGUCGU
rnacentral:rRNA from 1 species